rnacentral:rRNA from 1 species
UACGUAGGGGGCUAGCGUUGUCCGGAAUCAUUGGGCGUAAAGCGCGUGUAGGCGGCUCGGUAAGUCCGCUGUGAAAGUCGGGGGCUCAACCCUCGGAUGCCGGUGGAUACUGUCGGGCUAGAGUACGGAAGAGGCGAGUGGAAUUCCUGGUGUAGCGGUGAAAUGCGCAGAUAUCGGGAAGAACACCCGUGGCGAAGGCGGCUCUCUGGGACGGUACUGACGCUGAGACGCGAAAGCGUGGGGAGCGAACAGG